ACGCUGACAGAAUGCUUAACACAUGCAAGUCUACUUGAACUUCGGUUUGGGUGGCGGACGGGUGAGUAACGCGUAAAGAACUUGCCUCACAGUUAGGGACAACAUUUGGAAACGAAUGCUAAUACCUGAUAUUAUGAUUUUAGGGCAUCCUAAGAUUAUGAAAGCUAUAUGCGCUGUGAGAGAGCUUUGCGUCCCAUUAGCUAGUUGGAGAGGUAACGGCUCACCAAGGCGAUGAUGGGUAGCCGGCCUGAGAGGGUGAACGGCCACAAGGGGACUGAGACACGGCCCUUACUCCUACGGGAGGCAGCAGUGGGGAAUAUUGGACAAUGGACCAAAAGUCUGAUCCAGCAAUUCUGUGUGCACGAUGACGUUUUUCGGAAUGUAAAGUGCUUUCAGUUGGGAAGAAAAAAAUGACGGUACCAACAGAAGAAGUGACGGCUAAAUACGUGCCAGCAGCCGCGGUAAUACGUAUGUCACAAGCGUUAUCCGGAUUUAUUGGGCGUAAAGCGCGUCUAGGUGGUUAUGUAAGUCUGAUGUGAAAAUGCAGGGCUCAACUCUGUAUUGCGUUGGAAACUGCAUGACUAGAGUACUGGAGAGGUAAGCGGAACUACAAGUGUAGAGGUGAAAUUCGUAGAUAUUUGUAGGAAUGCCGAUGGGGAAGCCAGCUUACUGGACAGAUACUGACGCUAAAGCGCGAAAGCGUGGGUAGCAAACAGGAUUAGAUACCCUGGUAGUCCACGCCGUAAACGAUGAUUACUAGGUGUUGGGGGUCGAACCUCAGCGCCCAAGCUAACGCGAUAAGUAAUCCGCCUGGGGAGUACGUA
rnacentral:rRNA from 2 species